rnacentral:rRNA from 1 species
GGGAGUGAAAUAGAACCUGAAACCCUGCACUUACAAGCUGUGGAAGCACAUUUCUUGUGUGACCGCGUACUUUUUGUAGAACGGGCCAACGAGUUACGUUAAGUAGCAAGGUUAAGCACUUAAGGUGCGGAGCCGUAGCGAAAGCGAGUUUUAACUGAGCGUUCAGUUACUUGACGUAGACCCGAAACCGGGCGACCUACCCAUGAGCAGGAUGAAGCGAAAGUAAAAUUUCGUGGAGGUCCGAACCCACG